rnacentral:lncRNA from 1 species
UAGCAACACCACCACCUGUCAAAUGAGUGAACUGUAAAACAUGAUCUGAAAUAUUAUUGGGUUGUCCUGUUCCUCUGUUCCAUAAGUUCUCUAUUUUAAACUCUUGUACCCAAGGCAUGCUUUUCACGAAGGUGUCUAAUACUGGGUUUCUUUGAAAAUAGUAAUUAUGAUAACUAUUAAUUAGAGACUAGUGCUAAAAUCUUCAGAAAUUGGAGUUCGAUAAAGAAUUGGUUGUUCUUACCCAUUCUCUCUCUAAACAAGAGUUCUUCUGUAUAUUUUUUCUUCUUCUGGAUGAGCAUGUUUUGGUUUGAGAUGCACAUAAUUGAGAUGCAAUAAUUUGUUUCUUCAUUUACAAUUCUUUUCUUUUUGAGAGAUCAGAUCCACCCUCUAUUUGUAUCACGCUUGCUUUCGAACAAUUUGAGUAUUCUUCUUGAGGCUGAAAUCCCACCUUAUGGUCUGCACUCUACUUUCCUGCCAUCUUCCUUUCUUUCAAAUAAAUGUUUGGAGUUAGGAUGGAUCAUAAUAUAUAAAGGAAUUUGUCACGGCUCAACGGUAGUUAACUGCUGUCGGAUGCUCAAUGGUAGUUGCUGGAGGUAUUUUAGACAUUUCUACGUGUUUUUAGGAACUUAUUGAAGUCAGAAAAACUAUUUUCUAUAUUUUGACCUUUUGCUCAUAAAACCCAAGUUUGGGAAAAUUUACCCUGCUCCCCCUCUAUUUUUACCUUCACCCCUACAAACUAUUUAAAAUGUC